AGCUUCUUUACAGUGCUGACUUGUAGCAUCCGGAUCAAGCAGCAUUGUACAGGGCUAUGA
rnacentral:pre_miRNA from 1 species